rnacentral:rRNA from 1 species
UACGUAGGGCGCAAGCGUUGUCCGGAAUUAUUGGGCGUAAAGAGCUCGUAGGCGGCUUGUCACGUCGGGUGUGAAAGCCCGGGGCUUAACCCCGGGUCUGCAUUCGAUACGGGCUAGCUAGAGUGUGGUAGGGGAGAUCGGAAUUCCUGGUGUAGCGGUGAAAUGCGCAGAUAUCAGGAGGAACACCGGUGGCGAAGGCGGAUCUCUGGGUCUCAACUGACGCUGAUGCACGAAAGCUAGGGUAGCGAACGGG